AUCUGGGCGGCGGAAUUCAGGAUAGCCGUACGAGGUCUCGCGCUCGUUCCGGUUGUUUGAUAUUUCCGUCGCCGUGUCAGACGUCGCGACCUGAUUCGUCGUCGGUCCUUGCUCGGAGGAAUCGCGAUCGAGUUCGUUGCGGGUGCGUUUCGGCGUGCUCCGCGGCGAAGGCGCGUCUUUCUGGCUGACGACGGACAGUAAGCAACGGUGUCCGAUGUCGUGUCUCGCACUCGAUGUCGGUGCCGGUCAGCGACGAUUUCUUCGGGCCUCUUUCCGACCCGUCUUGAAACACGGACCAAGGAGUCUAACAUGCGCGCGAGUCGCGGGGUUUCGAGCGUGCCACGGUGCGCUCGUUACUUCCGAAACCCGUACGUUGAAGGCGUAAUGAAAGUGAACAGGGAAGAUGGCGUUCCGAGUCCACGUACCGUGAUCGAGUAUCGCGGCCGGACGCCCGCAUUCCCGGGGCGUCUCAAUGGUUCGUCGCGGAUGCGGACGAUCGUCUUUCGGGGCGGUCGUCGGUCUGCGACGGUCCGA
rnacentral:rRNA from 1 species